GGCAAAUGAGAAGAAGAAAAUGGAGGCUCUAGGAGACAUCCCUGAGAGGAGAAAAGAUAACGCCCCACCAAUUGUGUCAAGAAGAAGCCCCUCCAGUGGAUGAUUGUAUAGUGCUCCGAAUGCAUAAGGGACAACAAGCCGAUGAUGUUGAGAAUGAAUAUGCCUAUAUAGAAACUUGUUGUGAUGCAUGUAUCUAUGCAUGAAAUACUGCCAAGUAUCCAAAACCAACAUAGCCAUAACAAACUGUCUAGCUAGAACAAUUAGGGAAGGUUGUUGAUCUAUAGCAGCCUGAGAAUCAUUUGCAGUUACCGUAAACAAGAGGAUAGCAACAACAGCUUG
rnacentral:misc_RNA from 1 species